rnacentral:rRNA from 1 species
AUUGAACGCUGGCGGCAUGCUUUACACAUGCAAGUCGAACGGUAACAGGCCGCAAGGUGCUGACGAGUGGCGAACGGGUGAGUAAUGCAUCGGAACGUGCCCAGUCGUGGGGGAUAACGCAGCGAAAGCUGUGCUAAUACCGCAUACGAUCUAUGGAUGAAAGCGGGGGACCGUAAGGCCUCGCGCGAUUGGAGCGGCCGAUGUCAGAUUAGCUAGUUGGUGGGGUAAAGGCCCACCAAGGCGACGAUCUGUAGCUGGUCUGAGAGGACGACCAGCCACACUGGGACUGAGACACGGCCCAGACUCCUACGGGAGGCAGCAGUGGGGAAUUUUGGACAAUGGGCGCAAGCCUGAUUCAGCAAUGCCGCGUGCAGGAAGAAGGCCUUCGGGUUGUAAACUGCUUUUGUACGGAACGAAACGGUCUGGGUUAAUACCUCGGGCUAAUGACGGUACCGUAAGAAUAAGCACCGGCUAACUACGUGCCAGCCGCCGCUGUAA